CGGAUGGGAGGAGUCUGUCUGGCCGGAUAUAAAAAGAAGACGGACCGGUUCUAUCUUUCACUUCCUUCUCUCAUCUGGCCAUGAUGGAGAAAGCACCAGGACGAGUUUGCUGCACAGGUGGCAGCAGACUGUGGCAAGACAACAUGCGGGACCCAUCUAGGGUUGGCUGGGUCGGUCUCAGCAGCUGGAAAGCCCAUUGUGGUGUGUGAUCUAACUGACGAAGGAUGCGCCUUCAGCACCUUGGAGAGGAUUCACAAUGGAGUCUUUCGAUGAUUCGGUGCGACUUCAGCAUCACAAUUGGCGUGUUCCCAUUGAGGGUUCUGAUGAAGAAAGUUCCCUCAUUGAGCGAGGAUGAAGCCAACAUGGAACAGAUCUGAGUGAUGACUAAGCCCGUCCCAGAUGCUUGGAGAUGCUGUCUCACUUUCCAGUGGCGGCCACAGGUGUGACUGUGCUGCAGGUAAAUGAGCCUGUACAUCUCUAGGGUUGGGUAUCGUUAUCCUGAUUGCAGUGGAAUAUCGGAGUCUGGAUUGAACCUGGGCCUGGAAGGAUCUGCCAUGUGUUCGGCCUUCAAAAUCAAAUCAGUAGAACUAAAGGUUCUCUCCUGCAUGACAUCUCAUGUGUAUUUAGAUUUCAACUUUUAGGUUAAGUCUUUUACCACACUCAGAGCAAUUACACUGGAGUUAUUAAAAAAAAAAAAAAAAUCCUGUAUUGUAAAAUCCAGCUCUUCUCAAUAAAACAACUCUACGAA